CACAUACUCCCUCCGUCCUGAAUUACUUGUCGCAGAAAUGGAUGUAUCUAGACAUAUUUUUAGUUAUAGAUACAUCCAUUUCUGCGACAAGUAUUUCGGAACGGAGGGAGUAUAAG
rfam:Triticum urartu cultivar G1812 contig1216761, whole genome shotgun sequence.